UUUUACCCCUAGUGAUCCAAUAGCAAACUUUUUGCUUCUUGUGACUUUGGGUUCUGUUGGUAUACAGGUCUUAGUUCCAAAUGGAGGAAUGUUUUCACCAGAGGACACAAGAAUGGCUCCAUUAAGCUGGAAGUUGAGACUGCUAUCUGUUUACUUUGGGCUCCUCAUGGUAAUCAAUCAACAGGCAAAGCAGGUGAUUUAAGCCAAGGGAGGAACUACAACAACUGAGUUCAAGUAGGAUUAAUGAUCCACACACUUCAGAGAUGAAGGUUCGGGUCACCCUACCAGGCAAGGAACCAUGACCAGAACUCCCUUUUGGUUAAUAAUCUGUGAUGGAUCCUGGACCCUGGAGGAGGAAAACUUCACAACCAGUCCUUUUGCAAACCUCUGCCUGUCCACCUGUGAACACGCUAACUUAUUACAGGAGGCUUUAUUUUUGCUAUAUACAUUAUCAGCAGAUAAGUAUCUAUACAUUUCCUUUUGAAAAGAAAGUUGUGGGGGGCACCUGAGUGGACUGGACUGCUCAGAUCAAGAUCUCAGGGUUUGUGGGUUUGAGCCCAAGUCGGGCUCUGCUCUGACUGUUGCGGAGACUGCUUGGGCUUCUCUUUCCUGCUCUCUGCUCCUCCCCUGUUCUCUUUCUCAAACUAAAUAAAUAAAUAAACUUUAAAAAAAA